GGCGCUUUGGCGGAGUGGUUAUCGCGUGGCACUCGAAUUUCGAUUCGAGGGGAGCAUCUCCCCACUCAACAAUUAUACUGAAUAUGCCAUUCCCUCUGGGAGCAUAGGUUCAAAUCCUGUAGGCGUCG